rnacentral:rRNA from 1 species
GUUUGACCUCAAAUCAGGUAGGAAUACCCGCUGAA